rnacentral:rRNA from 1 species
GACGAACGCUGGCGGCGUGCUUAACACAUGCAAGUCGAACGGUGAAGCGCCUUCCUUUUUGGUGGGUGUGGAUGAGUGGCGAACGGGUGAGUAACACGUGAGUAACCUGCCCCUUUCUUCUGGAUAACCGCAUGAAAGUGUGGCUAAUACGGGAUAUUCUGGGUCUGUCGCAUGAUGGGUCUGGGAAAGAUAUUGUUUCGGUGGGGGAUGGGCUCGCGGCCUAUCAGCUUGUUGGUGGGGUGAUGGCCUACCAAGGCGGUGACGGGUAGCCGGCCUGAGAGGGUGGACGGUCACACUGGGACUGAGACACGGCCCAGACUCCUACGAGAGGCAGCAGUGGGGAAUAUUGCACAAUGGGCGCAAGCCUGAUGCAGCGACGCCGCGUGAGGGAUGGAGGCCUUCGGGUUGUGAACCUCUUUCGCCAGUGAAGCAGGCCUGCCUCGUUUGUGGGUGGGUUGACGGUAGCUGGAUAAGAAGCGCCGGCUAACUACGUG